rnacentral:lncRNA from 1 species
UUUCCUACGAAAAUAUAUCGUAAGAAAGUUGAAGAAAAUUUCCUUCGAAAAUCCUAUAAAGAACAUAAUUGUAGGAAAUUUUGUAAGAAAGUUGAAAAACUUUGGUAGGAAACAUCUUCAUAGGAAUUUGGUAAGAAAUAUUCCUUCCAAUUUCCUACCAAAACUAUAUUGAAUGAAUUUCGUAGGAAUAUUUUCUACCAUUUUUUUUUCCAAUAUAUUUUAAUCGUGCUUACACCUUCCUUCUCCUAUUUUCUCUGUUAGUCUUCCUCCAUUUUUAUUUUUUUUGGUUCUUCUACCAUGUUUACUUUUAAUAUUUUAUCUUUGUCUCUGUAUACUCUUCUUCACUAUUAUUAAUCUACUAGAAAUAGAUCUGGUCUUUUUUAUCUACCUUAAAGUUUUUUUUAUAUAUUUCUCUAGCUCUCAAGCUCAAGGAAAACACUAGAUCUGAUUAUACUAUCACUUCAACAUGCUGUUACACAAUUCUCUUCCUUAUCUCUGUUCUGGAUUUGUUGUUUUCCUCAUCUUUUUUCUUUCUCAGAUCUAACCAUUUCUCAGAUCUAACCAUUUUUUUGCCCUAUGUUUCAGAUCUAACUUAUUUGCAGAUGAUGCCGCCAUUAACGAUGCUCAAAAGGUAAAUCUCUCGUUUUUUACUCUUCAAUUAACUGGGUUUUGUUGUAUUUCUUAGGAUUGAAAGAGGAAGAUACAAAUAAAAAAGCUAUCCGACGACGUCGGACAUUGGAGUCGGUGGUGGAGGAGAGCAAAAGCAUUGAAGCAAUUUUUAUUUGUUUAUUCUUAUUAUAUUUGUUUUGUUUUAUUAAAGUUUUUUUUAUAAAUAAGAAUUGUUGAUAUUUUGGUUAAUAAUAAUUAUCAAUUUCGAAUUUAACAAACUGUAAUUUUAAAUAUCAAAAUCAAUUAAAUCAAAAUAUGAAUAGAAAUUAAU